rnacentral:rRNA from 1 species
GAUGAACGCUGGCGGCGUGCCUAAUACAUGCAAGUCGAGCGAACGGACGAGAAGCUUGCUUCUCUGAUGUUAGCGGCGGACGGGUGAGUAACACGUGGAUAACCUACCUAUAAGACUGGGAUAACCUCGGGAAACCGGAGCUAAUACCGGAUAAUAUUUUGAACCGCAUGGUUCAAAAGUGAAAGACGGUCUUGCUGUCACUUAUAGAUGGAUCCGCGCUGCAUUAGCUAGUUGGUAAGGUAACGGCUUACCAAGGCAACGAUGCAUAGCCGACCUGAGAGGGUGAUCGGUCACACUGGAACUGAGACACGGUCCAGACUCCUACGGGAGGCAGCAGUAGGGAAUCUUCCGCAAUGGGCGAAAGCCUGACGGAGCAACGCCGCGUGAGUGAUGAAGGUCUUCGGAUCGUAAAACUCUGUUAUUAGGGAAGAACAUAUGUGUAAGUAACUGUGCACAUCUUGACGGUACCUAAUCAGAAAGCCACGGCUAACUACGUG